rnacentral:lncRNA from 1 species
UUUUCUCUUAAUUUAUCAGGCUAAGAAUGCUAUCGCAUCGAAAAAUAAAUAAUGCAAUACCUUUCUCCACAGAAGCUGAGUAGGGUGAAAGUGCGC